rnacentral:rRNA from 1 species
AGUUAAAAAGCUCGUAGUUGGAUUUGUGGUGUGUCCAGUCGGCCUUUGCUCUUUGAGUGAUUGCGCUGUACUGGUCUGCCAUGUUUGGGUGGAAUCUGUGUGGCAUUAAGUUGUCGUGCAGGGGAUGCCCAUCGUUUACUGUGAAAAAAUUAGAGUGUUCAAAGCAGGCUUAUGCCGUUGAAUAUAUUAGCAUGGAAUAAUGAUAUAGGACCUUGGUACUAUUUUGUUGGUUUGCGCACUAAGGUAAUGAUUAAGAGGGACAGUUGGGGGUAUUUGUAUUCCAUUGUCAGAGGUGAAAUUCUUGGAUUUUUGGAAGACAAACUACUGCGAAAGCAUUUACCAAGGAUGUUUUCAUUAUCAAGAACGAAAGUUAGGGGAUCGAAGAUGAUUAGAUACCAUCGUAGUCUUAACCAUAAACUAUGCCGACAAGGGAUUGGCGGAACGACGUUACGUCUCCGUCAGCACCUUGUGAGAAAUCAUAAGUCUUUGGGUUCCGGGGGGAGUAUGGUCGCAAGGCUGAAACUUAAAGAAAUUGACGGAAGGGCACCACC